rnacentral:rRNA from 1 species
UUAAGUUAAUAAGGGCGCACGGUGGAUGCCUUGGCACUAGGAGCCGACGAAGGACGUGACAAACGACGAUAUGCCUUGGGUAGCUGUAAGUAAGCGAUGAUCCAGGGAUUUCCGAAUGGGGGAACCCAACAGGUAAUACCUGUUACCUACAUCUGUUAAGGAUGUGAGGAGGAAGACGCAGUGAACUGGAACAUCUAAGUAGCUGCAGGAAGAGAAAGCAAAAGCGAUUGCCUUAGUAGCGGCGAGCGAAACGGCAGAAGGGCAAACCGAAGAGUUUACUCUUCGGGGUUGUAGGACUGCAAUGUGGACUCAAAGAUUAUAGAAGAAUGAUUUGGGAAGAUCAGCCAAAGAGAGUAAUAGCCUCGUAUUUAAAAUAGUCUUUGUACUUAGCAGUAUCCUGAGUACGGCGGGACACGUGAAAUCCCGUCGGAAUCUGGGAGGACCAUCUCCCAACCCUAAAUACUCCCUAGUGACCGAUAGUGAACCAGUACCGUGAGGGAAAGGUGAAAAGCACCCCGGGAGGGGAGUGAAAUAGAACCUGAAACCGUGUGCCUACAACAAGUUCGAGCCCGUUAAUGGGUGAGAGCGUGCCUUUUGUAGAAUGAACCGGCGAGUUACGUUAUGAUGCGAGGUUAAGUUGAAGAGACGGAGCCGUAGGGAAACCGAGUCUGAAUAGGGCGCCUUAGUAUCAUGACGUAGACCCGAAACCAUGUGACCUACCCAUGAGCAGGUUGAAGGUGCGGUAAGACGCACUGGAGGACCGAACCAGGGCACGUUGAAAAGUGCUUGGAUGACUUGUGGGUAGCGGAGAAAUUCCAAACGAACUUGGAGAUAGCUGGUUCUCUCCGAAAUAGCUUUAGGGCUAGCGUCGACAUUAGAGAUUCUUGGAGGUAGAGCACUGUUUGGGUGAGGGGUCCAUCCCGGAUUACCAAUCUCAGAUAAACUCCGAAUGCCAAUGAAUUAUGGUCGGCAGUCAGACUGCGAGUGCUAAGAUCCGUAGUCGAAAGGGAAACAGCCCAGACCACCAGCUAAGGUCCCAAAAUAAUUGUUAAGUGGAAAAGGAUGUGGGGUUGCACAGACAACUAGGAUGUUAGCUUAGAAGCAGCUAUUCAUUCAAAGAGUGCGUAAUAGCUCACUAGUCGAGUGACCCUGCGCCGAAAAUGUACCGGGGCUAAAACAAUUUACCGAAGCUGUGGAUACCUUUAUAGGUAUGGUAGGAGAGCGUUCUAUGUGUGAUGAAGGUAUACCGUGAGGAGUGCUGGAACGCAUAGAAGUGAGAAUGCCGGUAUGAGUAGCGAAAGACAGGUGAGAAUCCUGUCCACCGUAAGACUAAGGUUUCCAGGGGAAGGCUCGUCCGCCCUGGGUUAGUCGGGACCUAAGGAGAGACCGAAAGGUGUAUCCGAUGGACAACAGGUUGAUAUUCCUGUACUAGAGUAUGUAGUGAUGGAGGGACGCAGUAGGCUAACUAAAGCAGACGAUUGGAAGAGUCUGUCUAAGCAGUGAGGUGUGAAUUGAGUCAAAUGCUUAAUUCUAUAACAUUGAGCUGUGAUGGGGAGCGAAGUUUAGUAGCGAAGUUAGUGACGUCACACUGCCAAGAAAAGCUUCUAGCGUUUAAACAUACUCUACCCGUACCGCAAACCGACACAGGUAGUCGAGGCGAGUAGCCUCAGGUGAGCGAGAGAACUCUCGUUAAGGAACUCGGCAAAAUGACCCCGUAACUUCGGGAGAAGGGGUGCUGACUUAAAGUCAGCCGCAGUGAAUAGGCCCAAGCAACUGUUUAUCAAAAACACAGCUCUCUGCUAAAUCGUAAGAUGAUGUAUAGGGGGUGACGCCUGCCCGGUGCUGGAAGGUUAAGAGGAGUGCUUAGCGUAAGCGAAGGUAUGAAUUGAAGCCCCAGUAAACGGCGGCCGUAACUAUAACGGUCCUAAGGUAGCGAAAUUCCUUGUCGGGUAAGUUCCGACCCGCACGAAAGGCGUAAUGAUUUGGGCACUGUCUCAACGAGAGACUCGGUGAAAUUUUAGUACCUGUGAAGAUGCAGGUUACCCGCGACAGGACGGAAAGACCCCAUGGAGCUUUACUGCAGUUUGAUAUUGAGUGUCUGUACCACAUGUACAGGAUAGGUAGGAGUCUAAGAGAUCGGGACGCCAGUUUCGAAGGAGACGCUGUUGGGAUACUACCCUUGUGUUAUGGCCACUCUAACCCAGAUAGGUGAUCCCUAUCGGAGACAGUGUCUGACGGGCAGUUUGACUGGGGCGGUCGCCUCCUAAAAGGUAACGGAGGCGCCCAAAGGUUCCCUCAGAAUGGUUGGAAAUCAUUCGCAGAGUGUAAAGGUAUAAGGGAGCUUGACUGCGAGAGCUACAACUCGAGCAGGGACGAAAGUCGGGCUUAGUGAUCCGGUGGUUCCGUAUGGAAGGGCCAUCGCUCAACGGAUAAAAGCUACCCUGGGGAUAACAGGCUUAUCUCCCCCAAGAGUUCACAUCGACGGGGAGGUUUGGCACCUCGAUGUCGGCUCGUCGCAUCCUGGGGCUGUAGUCGGUCCCAAGGGUUGGGCUGUUCGCCCAUUAAAGCGGCACGCGAGCUGGGUUCAGAACGUCGUGAGACAGUUCGGUCCCUAUCCGUCGCGGGCGUAGGAAAUUUGAGAGGAUCUGCUCCUAGUACGAGAGGACCAGAGUGGACUUACCGCUGGUGUACCAGUUGUCUUGCCAAAGGCAUCGCUGGGUAGCUAUGUAGGGAAGGGAUAAACGCUGAAAGCAUCUAAGUGUGAAACCCACCUCAAGAUGAGAUUUCCCAUGAUUAUAUAUCAGUAAGAGCCCUGAGAGAUGAUCAGGUAGAUAGGUUAGAAGUGGAAGUGUGGCGACACAUGUAGCGGACUAAUACUAAUAGCUCGAGGACUUAUCCAA